rnacentral:lncRNA from 1 species
CCAGCCUGGCCACACGGUGAAACCCUAUCUCUACUGAAAAUACAAAAAUUAGCAAGGUAUGGUGGCACACGCCUGUAGUCCCAGCUACUCAGGACGUUGAGGGAGGAGAAUUGCUUGAACCCAGGGGGCUGGAGGAUGCAGUGAGCCAAGAUCAUGCCACUGCACUCCAGCCUGAAUAACAUUUUAAUGGCCAAUAUGGUGAACCCGUCUCUACCAAAAAUAGAAAAAUUAGCCGAGCGUGGUAGUUUGUGCCUGUGAUCCCAGCUAUUCGGGAGGCUAAGGCAGGAGAAUCGCUUGAGCCCAGGAGAAAAAAGUCCUGCAAAGGUCCUGUUAGAUUAGUUUGGUCCAAAGCUGCAUUCAUCCUUUAACCUCCAUGAACUCCCACUCUUAACUGAAAGGUCACGGUGGCAUUUUCUAGUCUGCUCGUACCA